UAUAGGUGUAAUAAUACUACGAUUUAAAGUUAAAUUAAUAUUAAUUGUAAUUCAAUAACUGUAAAAUAUAUUGUUAUAACAAUCGUGUCAGCUCGUCACACACACAACACUUGUAAAAAUGUCAUAUUAUUGUUCGUCCAGAGGAAAAGCAGAAGAAAAAGAAAAAGCAACCAGAAUGCAAGUUUUAAUGGAAGAAAUGAAUCAAUUAAUAGAUGUCAAUCGUCAAGAAACUGCUGAAUUCAGAGACGCGACGCGUGAAAAACAAACUAUAAUUACUGCACUCCGAGGUCAAAACUUGCUGCAAAGUUAAUGGCCUCGGAGCAGGUGUCAAGUCGGAGGCGGUAUCCACUAGUGGGAUGUCCUACAUAAUUCGAGGAACCCGAGCUGAAUCGGUGGUCCAUUUUCUAUGGUGAUAUUUGACGGCAUUUAACCGCAGGCUCUCCACAGAAAUGACGACUGUCUUAUACGAACUAAACCGGAAAGAGCGGGUCAACGCAAUAUGAUUGCAAGUAAUCAAAAGAGAGAAGAUGAACUGGAAAAAAACAAAAAUUUGCAGAACGUGGCGAUUAAUGUGAAAUUUGUUUCAGAGUUAGCCAGACACUAGUACUAAAUGCUUUUUUACUGUCCACAUUAUACUCACAUGCUCUUGCCAAUUGAAUUUACAUUAUUUACAUACAUAAGUUUCGCUACGUCAUCUUUACUCGUAUACAAUUGUUUUGCUCUCGUAGUUAUUUACAUUUAUAAGUAUAUAUAUAUACUAUACUUAUACAAUACUUGGCUGUUAGAAAUAAUUUUUUUGAAUUACAACUAUUUGUUACAUCCAAAUUAUCAGCUUGAAAGAAAUUAACUUACUGUCGUUUUCACGUCUUUGUGUAGAUUUUUAAAAGCGACUCGAGUCUAUUAUCGGGUUCUGUGGUGUCGAUAACCGUGUUUAGCAAGUAAAAUGUUUCCAUAUCUUCCUGGUUAUUUAUUUACAGUGAGUGUUAAAAUACAAAUUGAGUACCUACAUAUUAUAUAAACCUCUUGUUUCUGGAUGGACGACAAGCAUUUGGCCCAGUAACGAGGUUCAAAGAAAACGCUGUGACAACCGUUUGAAGAAAGAUCACUUUCUUAUGUUUGCGAAGGAGUGAAACAAAUUUUUGCUCAUUAAACAAAUUCUAUUCUUACCUCGCCGAUAAGAAUACUGUACUUCAACUACGGUGAUCCGAAUAACGGCAGCUCUUUCGUUUUAGAAACCUUAUCUGUUUGAAAGUAUAAUAUAAAUUUAUAUAUAUAUAUAUAUUUAAGUGUAUCAAAACAAAUUUGGUUUUAAUUGAUUUUUUGUUUACAAGUUCAAAACCAACGAAUUUGUAACUAUCAUGUGUUAUUCAUUUGGAUCUAAAUAUUUUUU